AAGUCGUAACAAGGUAACCGUAGGUGAACCUGCGGUUGGAUCAUUAGUAAAUCUUUACUACUUUGCGCUUUCACUAGCGCAUCCAACUUUGUGUGAACUGUUAUUGUCUUUGGCGGGUUGCGUGCUUGCUGUGGUAUCUAGUCUAGGCUAGUACCCCAAGUCGUUUUCCUAUGGUCUAGGGAAUUCGUUUCUUAGGCUUAGGAAUCCAGCCCGUCGGUCGAUUUUUUCCACUAGGGAAACCUAAGGAAAUCUCGGCGAACUAUGAACUCUAUACUUUUAUUUUUUUGUCUAGUAGUCUGAGUAUCUAGUCUGCGAAAGCAGCAUUUGAUAUCAUAAUCAAAAACAACUUUUGGCAACGGAUCUCUAGGCUCUU
rnacentral:misc_RNA from 1 species